rnacentral:rRNA from 1 species
UACGGGGGGGGCAAGCGUUGUUCGGAAUUACUGGGCGUAAAGGCUCGUAGGUGGCCAACUAAGUCAGACGUGAAAUCCCUCGGCUUAACCGGGGAACUGCGUCUGAUACUGGAUGGCUUGAGUUUGGGAGAGGGAUGCGGAAUUCCAGGUGUAGCGGUGAAAUGCGUAGAUAUCUGGAGGAACACCGGUGGCGAAGGCGGCAUCCUGGACCGGUAUUGACGCUGAGGCGCGAAAGCCAGGGGAGCAAACGGG